rnacentral:sRNA from 1 species
GCCGGGGAGGGUUCUCCCCGCGACAACCCCACUGCACAGCAGAUCAUGCAGCUGUUUGGUGAGAUGCAGGACCCUCAGGAGCGCCCAGGCUUGGGCAGCAUCCCCUGCAUUCUGUUUUUCUACCAGGUUGACAAAAACCACCAGGAGCUGACAUGAUGAGUGACACGAGUUCUGGAAGCUUGGAGACCGUCACUGGAGCUUCCAGGACCCAGAAUAAAGCCAAUGACUUACGUGUUUCA